rnacentral:tRNA from 1 species
GCCCUCAUCGUCUAGCGGCCUAGGACGCCAGGUUCUCAACCUGGUAACAGGGGUUCAACUCCCCUUGAGGGCA